GGAGCAGAUCACUUAAAUUGGACUGGAUUGGCGGAGCUCAUAAAUAAGCCAAAUAAGCCAAAUAAGCAAAGCCCCGGCGGGCGGGGAGGAGGCUGCCACGAAAGCUACUGUGCAAGACUGGCGAGAGGUGCUAGCUGCCUAUGAAAAUUGCCAUCCUGAGUACGUUAAGAGGUGCCCACCUCUAGGGGGAGCCCGAGACCUUCUCUGAAGACUGCUCACUUCCAAGUGCAGAAGAAACUCGGAACGAGUCCGACCCUUCCUACCCGGUGAAAUCAAGUGUUACUCAGGGUGGAGAGUACAGAUUAAAGCACUGGCCAGUGAAUGUAGAGCGCAAAGAUAACGGGUGUAAAUAUCCACAGAACUUGAAUGGACAAGAUUAAGAUAUUUAGAAGCCCGGCAGCCUUGGUGGCUCAGUUGGUUAAGCGACUGCC